GGAACGCUUUAGGGGUGCUGAAAGGCUGAGAUAUACCCUUGGAACCUGAACAGGAUAAUGCCUGCGAAGGGAAAAGUGUGCUACCGUAU
rnacentral:ncRNA from 2 species